GACGAACGCUGGCGGUGUGCUUAACACAUGCAAGUCGAACGGUAAGGCCCUUUCGGGGGUACACGAGUGGCGAACGGGUGAGUAACACGUGAGUAACCUGCCCUCAUCUCUGGGAUAACAGUCGGAAACGGUUGCUAAUACUGGAUAUGAGCUUGCAAGGCAUCUUGUGGGUUGGAAAGAUUUUUUUUGGUUGGGGAUGGACUCGCGGCCUAUCAGCUUGUUGGUGAGGUAGUGGCUCACCAAGGCUUCGACGGGUAGCCGGCCUGAGAGGGCGACCGGCCACAUUGGGACUGAGAUACGGCCCAAACUCCUACGGGAGGCAGCAGUGGGGAAUAUUGCACAAUGGACGGAAGUCUGAUGCAGCAACGCCGCGUGCGGGAUGACGGCCUUCGGGUUGUAAACCGCUUUCAAUUGUGACGAAGCCUUUUUGUGACGGUAGCAGUAGAAGAAGCACCGGCUAACUACGUG
rnacentral:rRNA from 1 species